UCUCCUUUUAAUCCGCAUCCUGGAAACCCUAGCUAGCCUUCCCUCUCUGCCGCCGCCACUCCCUUCUUCUCCCUUCACCUUUCUAAUUUUUCUCUGUGAGCUAACGAAGAAGAACCUGCCACCACCGUCCUCACCAUGGCUCCGACGCUACAUACCUCCCUUCGUCUAUCCGAGACCACCACCAGAACCGCCUUGCUCUCCUCUUCCUCCACACCCAAGGAAUCGGCCUGGGGCUCUCUAAAUCGACGGUGGAAUCGCUGAUUCCGCCUCCAACUCCGGCGAGUAAUUCGUCAAUUCCGCCGCCCUUGUGCUCCUCCGGCCAAACUGAGCACAUCUCCGGCUUCCCCAUGUUCAGGCGCACCCUCGACGCCCUCGCUUUCGUCCUCUUUCGCUCGCAGCCGUCAAGUCCUUCUCAGACCAGGUCGUCCGCCAUGGCCGCCUUGCCCGAGCUCCGCCUCUAUCUGCUUCUAGUUGACGGGCGACCCACAACCAUCACCAUCUGAACUAGCAGCCCAGUGAUCUCGCGGAGAGAGAUGCUUCAUAUCAGGAGGAGUCUUUCCAGUACCAACAUCAGCAUGCAGCUUAGCUGGUUCGUUCCCUCUAAUGCAACGUGAGAUGUAGAGUUCAAUACCCCGGAGAGGCGAAUUAAUCCCUCUCCAAUCUUUUUCUUCUUCAGAUGAGAGUGGACAUUUAGAGUCCACACCAUGUAUACUGCAUCAAGAUCCGUGCUAAAAAAAAUUUGUUCCCCUCUCAAACAAUUUCUCAUUUUUGUAUCUCUCACACUACAUAUUUUUUGAAGUCAAAACCUUGCAGAUCAUUUAAA